rnacentral:rRNA from 1 species
UACGUAGGGUGCAAGCGUUGUUCGGAAUUACUGGGCGUAAAGGGCUCGUAGGUGGCCAACUAAGUCAGACGUGAAAUCCCUCAGCUUAACUGGGGAACUGCGUCUGAUACUGGAUGGCUUGAGAUUGGGAGAGGGACGCGGAAUUCCAGGUGUAGCGGUGAAAUGCGUAGAUAUCUGGAGGAACACCGGUGGCGAAGGCGGCGUCCUGGACCAACACUGACACUGAGGAGCGAAAGCCAGGGGAGCAAACGGG